CAUAGGCUGUUUGGAAAUUUCAUAUGGCAAUUUUUUGUGACACACCUCCUGGCCAUAAGCUGUACGUUGAGCACCGAUGGCCUUGAUGUCAACGACCGGUUCCAUACUCUAUCAAAGUUCCUCUCGUCAUAUACCAGGCUGUCAGGCCCUUUCUAAAUCUGAGUUGUUUCUAUUCUCAGCAUAUAUGUAAAUAUAUAUAUAUAUAUACACGGAUUGAAACCCCGGACGCUAGUCAUCAAACAUGGUGGCUUGUGGAAGGAUGAUACAAAAGAGAGGAAAACAAUACCCUCCAAGCCGCAGGCCGAUAACACUUCUCGAUUCAUACCGGUGACGGCAACA
rnacentral:sRNA from 2 species